GUGAGGAAUUUUCCGCAAUGGGCGAAAGCCUGACGGAGCAAUGCCGCGUGAAGGAUGAUGGCCUAUGGGUUGUAAACUUCUUUUCUCAGAAAAGAAUUAUGACGGUAUCUGAGGAAUAAGCAUCGGCUAACUCUGUGCCAGCAGCCGCGGUAAGACAGAGGAUGCAAGCGUUAUCCGGAAUGAUUGGGCGUAAAGCGUCUGUAGGUUGUUUAAAAAGUAUUCUGUCAAAGAUUAGGGUUUAACCCUAGAUAGGCAGAAUAAACUUUUAAGCUAGAGUGUGGUAGAGGCAGAGGGAAUUCCCGGUGGAGCGGUGAAAUGCGUAGAUAUCGGGAGGAACACCAAAGGCGAAGGCACUCUGCUGGGCCAAUACUAACACUGAGAGGCGAAAGCGGGGGGAGCAAAUGGGAUUAGAUACCCGUGUAGUCC
rnacentral:rRNA from 1 species